rnacentral:rRNA from 1 species
UUGUUGCAGUUAAAAAGCUCGUAGUCGGAUUUCAGUAUUAGGCCCUUCUUCCAAUACGGUUGCUAGUGGUCUUUACUUCCUUAACAGAAUCUUUCAUCUCAUUAAUUUGGGGUGUUUGGGGCCUGUUUCUUUUACUUUGAGAAAAUUAGAGUGUUCAAAGCGGGUUUUCGCCUGGAUAUUACUCUUGGAAUAAUAAUAUAGGACUUUGGUUCUUUUUUGUUGGUGACUUAGAACCGAAGUAAUGAUUGGUAGGGACAGUUGGGGUCAUUCGUACUAUGAAGCGAGAGGUGAAAUUCAUGGACCUUUGUAUGACGAACUACUGCGAAAGCAUUUGACUAGGAUGUUCCCGUUGAUCAAGAACGAAAGUUGGGGGAUCGAAGACGAUCAGAUACCGUCGUAGUCUCAACCAUAAACUAUGCCAGCUAGGGAUUGGAGGAAGAUCAUUUUACGUCUCCUUCAGCACCUUAUGAGAAAUCAAAGCCUUUGGGUUCCGGGGGGAGUAUGGUCGCAAGGCAGAAACUUAAAGGAGUUGACGGGAGGGCACCACCAGGAGUGGAGCCUGCGGCUUAAUUUGAU